rnacentral:rRNA from 1 species
AGAGUUUGAUCCUGGCUCAGGACGAACGCUGGCGGCGUGCCUAACACAUGCAAGUCGAACGGACGAGGCCCCUUCGGGGACCGAGUUAGUGGCGGACGGGUGAGUAACGCGUGAGCAACCUGCCUUUCAGAGGGGGACAACAGUUGGAAACGACUGCUAAUACCGCAUGAUGCAGCGAGAUCGCAUGGUCUUGCUGUCAAAGAUUUAUCGCUGAAAGAUGGGCUCGCGUCUGAUUAGCUAGUUGGAGGGGUAACGGCCCACCAAGGCGACGAUCAGUAGCCGGACUGAGAGGUUGAACGGCCACAUUGGGACUGAGAUACGGCCCAGACUCCUACGGGAGGCAGCAGUGGGGAAUAUUGGGCAAUGGGGGAAACCCUGACCCAGCAACGCCGCGUGAAGGAAGAAGGCUUUCGGGUUGUAAACUUCUUUUACCAGGGACGAAGAACGUGACGGUACCUGGAGAAAAAGCCACGGCUAACUACGUGCCAGCAGCCGCGGUAAUACGUAGGUGGCAAGCGUUGUCCGGAUUUACUGGGUGUAAAGGGCGUGUAGGCGGAGCUGCAAGUCAGAUGUGAAAUCUGGGGGCUUAACCCUCAAACUGCAUUUGAAACUGUAGCCCUUGAGUAUCGGAGAGGCAGGCGGAAUUCCUAGUGUAGCGGUGAAAUGCGUAGAUAUUAGGAAGAACACCAGUGGCGAAGGCGGCCUGCUGGACGACAACUGACGCUGAGGCGCGAAAGCGUGGGGAGCAAACAGGAUUAGAUACCCUGGUAGUCCACGCUGUAAACGAUGAAUACUAGGUGUGGGGGGACUGACCCCCUCCGUGCCGGAGUUAACACAAUAAGUAUUCCACCUGGGGAGUACGACCGCAAGGUUGAAACUCAAAGGAAUUGACGGGGGCCCGCACAAGCAGUGGAUUAUGUGGUUUAAUUCGACGCAACGCGAAGAACCUUACCGGGAUUUGACAUCCUACUAACGAAGCAGAGAUGCAUUAGGUGCCCUUCGGGGAAAGUAGAGACAGGUGGUGCAUGGUUGUCGUCAGCUCGUGUCGUGAGAUGUUGGGUUAAGUCCCGCAACGAGCGCAACCCCUAUUGUUAGUUGCUACGCAAGAGCACUCUAGCGAGACUGCCGUUGACAAAACGGAGGAAGGCGGGGACGACGUCAAAUCAUCAUGCCCCUUAUGUCCCGGGCUACACACGUAAUACAAUGGCGGUCAACAAAGGGAAGCAAAGCCGCGAGGCAGAGCAAACCCCCAAAAGCCGUCUCAGUUCGGAUUGCAGGCUGCAACUCGCCUGCAUGAAGCUGGAAUUGCUAGUAAUCGUGGAUCAGAAUGCCACGGUGAAUACGUUCCCGGGCCUUGUACACACCGCCCGUCACACCAUGAGAGUCGGGAACACCCGAAGUCCGUAGUCUAACCCGCAAGGGAGGGCGCGGCCGAAGGUGGGUCUGAUAAUUAGGGUGAAGUCGUAACAAGGUA